ensembl:snoRNA
UGCCUGUGCCUCCUCUGCGCAGGGCUCCCGGGAGCCGGGGGAGAUGCUGCCCCGGAAGCUGAAGCA